AGCGUUUGCGGGUGGCAGAGGGA
rnacentral:siRNA from 1 species